CGCCCCUCUCGCCCCUCCUCUCGAUCCACCCCCUUUCGCUGUGUUUUCUCUUUCCCUCGUAUCCUACUCCGCCGCCUCCCGCCUUCCUCCGCCGCCGACGCCUUCCUCCGCCGCUGCCGCCCCUCACCCUGCCUGCCUGCAUUGGUUUUUGGGCAUCCCACUCCUCCGCUGCCAUAUGCCGCCUCCGCCAAGAUCCGAGGCCCCCCACUUGUGGGCCGCCGCCGUCGCCACAGAACCUCGGGGAAGGGCGGGGCAGGGCGCAGUCUUCCUCCUCCGCCGCCAUCUGGUCCCCCUCCGCUCCCAUCUGCCACCGCCGUGGAAACAUGGGACGCUGCUGUCGCUGCCGCUGAAUCCAAGGGACGUCGCAGCCGUCGCGGAUCGGCAGGACGCCGCCGUUGCAAAUCGGCGGGACGCCGCCGCCGCUAUCGCCUCGGAUCACCAGGAUGCCGCCGCCGCAGAUCACCAGGUCGCCGCCGUCGGCUCGGAUCUUCACACGCCGCCGGCGUGGCCGUGACGACUGAUGAGCACGCUCAGCCCCCAUUCCUGCCACAGGGGAAGCUAGAGGCAGAGAACCGUCGGUCUUGCAUAUGUCAGUGACGGUCGCUGAUCAGGUUGUUGCGCGCGAAUGACAACAAUUGGUUCAUAACGAACCAAUAUGUAGGACAUGCCGUUCGACCUUCUUAUAGAAGUGAACAAUCAUUUCCAGAGCAUUAUAUUAGCUGGACUUUUUAUGAGGUAUGAGCAAGUUGAGAGUUUCGAGUGGGUAUAUUUUCUGAGUUCCUAAAUAUGAUCAGUGGGCCGGCGCCGAAGUCCAUCUUGACAGGUAGGUAGAUUGAGAUAAUUUGUAUGUCUCAAGGUUGUUAUCUGGUUCAUUCGUGUGCCGAGGCUCUGUAGAUCAAAACAGAGCCAUGAAGGUUGCUAUGAGCAAACUAUGUCCAGGGAAUUGAACAACUGUAGCUCACCUUACUGGUGGAUCUGUUGUUAAUAUUUAUUAUUUCACUGCUCGGAGUUCUUUUGUUAGAUAUGUUGUGUGAUUAUACUGUGUAUGUUUAUUUGAGGAAAAUGACAAUUGAUUGCAAGUGAAGUCUUGGGUAUGUUUAGCUGAAAUUUGCUGAAGUGAGCACUCGUGGGUAGUAACAGUGAAACCAUCGUGUAUUUGCCCAAGUGUUCAGUCUUUUAAAUUGUUUGUGAAAUGGUUAGAACUAAAAGAUCGCCUUCAUUUAAUAUUGAUUUUGAGAGUAAUGUUUUUAGAAACUUCAGACUAAUUCGGAGGUGAGGAGGAUGACGACGCCACCGCACCGUCGCACACCUCAAUAAGGCGAGGACCACUAAGUCGCCGGGGCGAGGAGCCUACCUCCGCGCCACUCCAUGAGGCGAGGGGCUCCCCAGAACUGCUGCUCCAUUAUGCUCCUCUCUUGAGGUAUUUGUUCUUCAGCUUGAGAAUUAUUGUUCAGCUCCUGCACAUAGUUCUCUAUUUGCUCCAUUGACAGUCAGCUUAUACAUUAGCAUAUGAAUUAGAUGAACAUGGAGCAAAGGAGUAUGCAUGGUUGUACCUUGCCCAGAAUCAUAUAUUUUCUUAGCCAUGAGUAUGUCAUCAUGAUCCUCUGUACAGGCUCUAAGAUGUACUACAAUAUGGUUACAUCUACUCCAUUCACCAUGGUGAUAAUCAAUUUAUUUUUUUCCCUUUCUAUUGUUUGAUUGUAUUGCCUUUAAGUCAUAUAUUAGAGAUUUUAGUAGAGUCAGGUCUCUACCAGUGAAGGUCAUGGCUAAGGAAACGGGACUGGCGGAUUUCCUCCUCGUCCUGGACAAGACGUCAUGACACAGUUGUGAUGAGGUGUGGCGCAAGCGUGGCUGUAGGAUCCCUCCUAUGAAGCCAGGCAAUGACAUCAUCGGAUCCUCACUGGUACACAGAGCUGUCGCGUGGAUCCGACAGGUGGCAGGGGCGUGUGACUAAUCAGGUACAUGGCCUUGGUUCCACAUAUAAUGUUACCAAGUUCUUAAUCUGUCAUAUUGCUUCUACCGUUCAGAUAUCUGAUGCCAUUACAGAUGGUGCUGAAGGAUCUUGUAGUAUGCAAGUAUGGAGCAAUUUCUAAAAUGGCUUGCAUGAUGUCACUUGUCAUCCUUGGCAUCUUAUCUCUUUCGCACUACUACCUGCAGCUGGAGGCAUCAUGCCUAGGAAGGUGAUUCCGUACUGUUUUUCUGAAACCUCGGCUGUACUCGUGAUUUCUUGUCUCAUUAAUCUCACGGCUACACAGGACAACUUCUGAAUAUAUUACAGUUAAUGCCUUUCUUCUUGGAGAUUUUGUGUACUAGACUAGCAUGAUUUGUUGGGAUGUGGAUUGCGGUAUGUGCAAAUUUUAGUUUCAAGUGCUGCUUGGGGGUCUGCAACGAAAGCGUUGCAGGUUUUAUUUGUUAUCUAUGGUGUUUGUCUUUCAUGGGUUUCCCCCUUCUUCGAUUUGAGAUAGUGAAUAAUUUACCAAAACAGUUUGGUGUUUGUGCAGCUGAUUUCUCAGCCAUGGCAUGGCUGUAUUUAGUGUGGCACUACUUUAUGCAACAUUUUAUGUUUGGCUUGGAGUAUAGAUUCACCUGAUUCAAUGAA